UACAGAGGGUGCAAGCGUUGUUCGGAAUUAUUGGGCGUAAAGCGCGUGUAGGCGGCUUGUUAAGUCGGGUGUGAAAGCCCUCAGCUCAACUGAGGAAGUGCGCCCGAAACUGGCGAGCUUGAGUGUCGGAGAGGAUGGCGGAAUACCCCAAGUAGAGGUGAAAAUUCGUAGAUAUGGGGUGGAACACCGGUGGCGAAGGCGGCCAUCUGGACGACAACUGACGCUGAGACGCGAAAGCUAGGGGAGCAAACAGGG
rnacentral:rRNA from 1 species